rnacentral:misc_RNA from 1 species
AUUUUAUCAACAAGGAAAUCUGCUUAGACUUAAUUUUAGUUUUGUAUUUUAAUUUUUUUAGUGCCUCAAAUGGUGGCCGAGAGUGAGAUGAAGAAAGAUGCUUCUACUGAUUCUCCCACUUUGGUUCUUGAAGAAAAUUCCCGUUUUCUCAGUUCAUUUUUCUGCCUUCUCCCAGCUGUCUCAUUUCAUCACCUUCUGCCCAACUCCAAACACAAGGUCAUGUCAGCCACUUCAUUUCUGGAAGAAUCAUGCCCCUGUCCAUUUCCACUUUAAUCAUUCUACCAUCUUGUAAGUUGAUCUUUGACGUUUCACGCAUCAAAAGAUUCGAAAGUUGC